CCGCAAGGAAGCCCGUGCAAGCCGCGACUGGAAGGAAGGUCGGCACGGAGAAGACGCUGCCUUAACCACUCGCCUUUCAUCUUUCAUCCGCCGGCCCAGAUUUCCCCGGAACGCCUCCUCUGCUCCGUGCCCGGGGCGGCCUGGCUGGUUGAUUUGGGGGAAAACCGGGAUGCUGUGAGCAGCCAGGGUGGUGUGUGCAAACUGCUGCCCUGCAAAUAUUCAGCAGAGGAUGCACAGUCCCAGGGAUCCUGGGAGUGCUGCCAGCAGGUGAGGUGCCAUGGCCAGAGCUGUCACUGUUACACAGCUCUGAAAUGAGCCCAGAAGUGAAGGAACAGUCACUCCCUGCUCAAACCCACUGCUCCUGGGGAUCUUGGGGGUCCCUGCCACACAGUCUGAGCAGCUUUUUCCUGCACCAUGGAUGUGGGGGAGUUCUGAUAAUCUCAGCCACAGCUGAAGAGAGAGCUGGAAGUCUUCCAGGAGAGCUGUUGUUUGGUGUCUCUCGUGACGUUGAUUUUCGGUCCUUCUAGAGUCCAGAUUCCUUUGAUUUUCAGUUCUUCAAGAGCCCAGAUUCUUGCCAGUCUGGACAAACAUUGCUGAGAUAACCCAACUGUUAUAAAGGUAAAACUGGGGAGGCUCGAGAACCAAUCACUUUGCAACCCCACUGUGAACCCCACGCACCUCCCCAGGGCAGCUGCACCUCCCAGCCCCUUUUGUCCUCCCAUCAGACAGAUCUUAACGGAGGAGGAGGAGUAGCAGCAGAGGAUGUGAGGAGCAGAGUCACGGUCAGAUAACAUCUCCCCAGGCUACGAUCCACAUCAAGUACAAAACAGGAUUGAUGAAGUGCUGAGGCAGGUCAGAGCUACCACAGAUCUCUCCUGAAGAUGGAAGCCAAACCCUGCAGUCCAUCUCCUUUUCCAUCAGUGGGAGUUUUGCCCCUGGAUGCAGCAAACGGCAUUUUCGGAGCCCUGAGGGGUUGGAAACCCACCAUCAGCCCUGACAGGAGCAGGGAAGAUGGAUACAGCACAUUCUGGAGUUGCAGCUCUGUCCUCAGCUCCUGAGCGUGCCUUGGCCUCUCCUGAGCUGCUACUGAGAUGCAGAUGGGGUUCAGCCCCAAUUCCCAGAGCUGCUCUGUGAGCAGGAAAAUGCAGCCAAAGCGUGGGUGCAUCUGGGUGGAGCCCUCUGUGGAUUAAACCCUUUGCUGGAGCCCUGCAUCCCCCCACACUGUGCAUCCCCAGUUUGUGCCCCUUCCUCUUGCUGAAACCUUGCACUCACAAAUGUUUCAUUCAUAAAGAAUCCCUUCACCUCCCGUGCUGAAAUUCUCACGCUCUACUUAGUUCUAUCCAUAGCUACAUAGGAUGAAAUUAUGUAUAAACCCAGCACCAGAAAUAGAGAGGGACUAAAUCAGCAGCCUGGAUUCAGCCUCCACCCAAGCUGGGAGUCGCUGGAAGCUGGACUUGCCUCCAGACUUUGUGGCUGGAGCCCAUCUGCAAGUCUGAAAGCCAAAAUGAAAAUAGAGAAGAAACCAAAUAACAUGGCAUCUCCUCGUCUUGACCACAGGCUCCCUGGGGCAGGGGCUGUUUGUUUGUCUCAAGAAGAACAAUUUCACUGCCUGUGAAUGAGGAGCUGGAGCAGGCUCAGGGAGUCUCGCUGCGGGAAGGGGCCGAGAGGAGCAGAGCUCACAAGGGGGAGGUGGGCUUGUUGUUCCUCCAGCCCCAGAGCAGCCACCAGCAGGAUGGGCAGCAGCAGACAGGGCUAUGGGGAAGGCCAUGAUUCCCCCUCUUCAUUCCUCAGCACUACUGUGAGCUCCAAAAUCUCUCAAAAAAAGUGAUACCAUUGGCUACCACCUCCUUGGCUCCCAUCUGGCUCUGGGGUGUGACAAUAAGGCAGCUCCUCCUGCACAGUGCCUGGGGAAGAGGAUGGAGGGGAGCCAGGCGAAGGAGGUGCUGGCACAGGGGCACCCCCAUCCCCUGGGCAGCUCAGGGGCUCAGGGGGGUGGUGGGGCCUCUGGUCCCUUCCAGCUGAAACAGUUCUACCCUCACCCUGGGGCCUGAGGAGCUGCCACUCAGCAGAGUGAACGUGUGCCUCUCCUGUCUCUGGCUUUGAGCUAUCCUGGUCCAUCAGGAAACAAAUGCAUUUGGUUCUCUAAAUGGGAGAAGGGUUUUUGUCAUCGUCGUCAUUUUUCUAGUUUCGGUCUUUGUUAGCAGCCCUUCCUCUUCCUCCCUGCUCUCCAAAAUAGCAAAAAGCUGCAUCCUCCUCCCCAGCUGCCUCUUGUAGGUUGCUGCAACACCCAGUGCUUCUCCUCAACACCAGCAGCAA